UGGCCAACAUCUGGAAAAGAUGUAUCCCG
rnacentral:piRNA from 1 species